rnacentral:misc_RNA from 1 species
AAGUCGUAACAAGGUUUCCGUAGGUGAACCUGCGGAAGGAUCAUUAACGUAUCUACUGGCGGCGGUCGUUCUCCCUGCUCCGGCUUCGGUCGUGCAGCGGGCGAUCGGCCCCGUCAAACCUUCACAAACCCACUGUGCACCUUUGCGGCGGAGGCUCCCGAGCGAGAGUUCGGUUGCCGAAGCCGCCCAACUAAACCCUCAGUCAAAAGAAUGUGAAGCGACCUCGAGUCGCCUAAUCAACAUAAUAACUUUCAACAACGGAUCUCUUGGCUCUC